rnacentral:lncRNA from 1 species
UACAAUGUCUGCGAUGGAAUAGGUGAGCUGGAAUAUUUGUGGAAUGCAUGGGUGGACUAAAGACCUAUCAUCUCACUCUAGAUUGCUGAGCAUGUUGGAGCACUAUAUGAGCUGCUGAGAUACAGAAAUAAACAACAACACAGGUGUGUCCUUUGCUCAAACCAGGCAUAAAUGAGCUUCCAAAUGAACAUAAACAAAUAUGGAAGGCUUCUGAGGAAGAAGGACCAUUAAAAAAAGGUAGAGAGAGAAUAUAUUGAGAUCAUGUUUAUUAAUCACUGAAAUAAAAUAUUCUCCAAAAUUUCAGUGAUUCUCCAGCCAAUAUAUUAUUAC